GGGGGUUGUGGUCGGAGAACUUUAUAACUGUGAGUUUUAUACAAUGGAUAUAAAAAUUGUGACAUUUGAUUCUUAUUUUCUUUUGUUGGAAAAAAAUCUACACCUUUUUUAGAGCGUACAACAAUCGUUUUAGGGGAAAAAGGAAAGAGAAUGUUUUACCAAAAAAGAAGAAGAGAAUGAAUGAGUUUAUUUGGAACAAAAUUAGUGAAUGAUCGGGGUAACUUUUGCUAUGGUUUGAUUAAAUUUAAAAAUGCCUUUGGGAUUGGAGAAUGUUUAUACAGUACAGAAAAUAAUAAUUGUACUUAACAAUAGCAACUACAUUAGGUAAUUUUACUAAUCAACUUAGAUUCAGGGUGUAUAUCGUGGUGAUUAUAAUCUUAAAAUAUACUAUAUCAUAGUACUGGACAAAGUGUGAGCUAUAUUUAAAUUGAAGAAUUACAUAUUUCUGUAUUGGAAAUAAAAAAUAUACAAAAAUUGUGCGUUGAAGUGUCCUUGACAUCGCCCCCAUGACUCACCAUAUUAUAUGAAAAUUGUAGAUCCAACGCCGAUAACUGGUGACUAUUAUUUGUUGCCAAAAAAAAAAAACUGGUGACUAUUUAUAAUUACUUUAAAAU
rnacentral:lncRNA from 1 species